rnacentral:rRNA from 1 species
GGGUCAGUAGGUUGGUCGUGCCACCGGUACGUACUGGUCUCACUGAUUCCUCCUUCCUGAAGAACCGUAAUGCCAUUAAUUUGGUGUUGCGGGGAAACAGGACUGUUACUUUGAAAAAAUUAGAGUGUUUAAAGCAAGCUAACGCUGGAAUACAUUAGCAUGGAAUAAUGAAAUAGGACGAUCGAUCCUAUUUUGUUGGUUUCUAGGAUUGACGUAAUGAUUAAUAGAGAUAAUUGGG